ACGAAUGGAAAUACCUUGACUAUGUAUGGCAAAGUACGGAUCAAAAACAAGAUGCCAUCGAACAGGGUGUUUACAACCACUCGAGAAUCUUGAUGUUUGACCACUACAGCCACGGCCAGAUGGCCGACGAAUGGUAACAACUCCGAAAUUCUACAAUAACCCGGCGACUCUAUCGACGAUUUCGGACGCAACCGGCGACGGUGGUCCAUUGCUGGCUCCGUACCCAGAUUGGAGCUGGCACAAUAAGUCAUCGGGAGACUGUUCGGGGAUCACGAGCGUCAACAGAGCAGUUAUCGAUGACUGCGGCAGAAUUUGGAUAGUGGACUCUGGUACAAUCGGCAACGAACUGAUAUGCCCGGCCAAGAUUCUCGCCUUCAACUCGACGACCGACGAGCUGCUGGAGAGCUUUGAAUUCUCGAGCGAUUUACUGCGCGGUCCCUGGAACAACGACACGGGAAUACUCGAAAUACAAGUCGUAGAAUGCUCUGCUAACGCUUGCGACGAUUACUGGGUAUACAUUGGCGAUGUAUCGAGCUACGGCUUGGUGAUUUUCAACGGAGAGAAGGCGUGGCGAUUAAACGAUGAGAUUUUCCUCCCGUCCGAAGCUGGCUCGCAAUUUAGCAUUGCUGGAGAAAAUUUCACCAUGGGCAUUGGACCUUCCGGCUUUUUGUUAACUCUCGAUGGAUUUCUGAAGGAGAAAUAUUUGAUGUUUAAGGCCUUAUCUGCCUUUAAGACGUACGCGGCUUCUUUGGAAGACAUGCAUAAUACCCAGUACUCGGGAAGUAACGUCACAUACUACGUUAGCAAUUGGACAGCAUCGAGUCAUGAAGUUGGAAAGGUUUUUACAAAAUACGGAGGUAUCGUCAUCACUGGAUUCACUGAUGAAACGGAAUUGGUGUGUUGGAAUCUACAGAAUCCUCUGGAUAACGACUACGUCGGUGUUCUGGAGCAGAGUGAAACUACCUUGCAGUAUAUUUCCAGCGUCAAGCCCAUAAUAGAAGACGGUAGUGACAUCGAGACAGUCUGGGUAUUGACGAAUAGAUUCCAGAAGUACGUAUUGGGCACGAUGAAUUUCGACGAGAUAAACUUCAGAAUGAUAACGGCCGACGUCGCUGCCCUUGUCAAAGACACUGUAUGCGAACCGGAGGAUCACGAAGUUUUGGAUAGUAUACUUGAUAUAAAUUUUCUUUACCUGAAAACUGUAUCCGUAUAAACUGUCACCGACCGUAUUAGCGUGGCGCGUAGCGUGCGAAACUAAAUUCUUGAUAUUACGGACGAACACGUUGGAUUUGCGAGGGUUUAUCGUUUGGGGUCGCAUAGAAACAUCGCUACCGAGUGCGAUUAAUAUUUUUAUGGACUUCACGGCUUCAUAUAAGUCUUGGAUCAAUAAAAUACCGAUCGCAGUACAUCGUGCAAGAAGGGAA
rnacentral:misc_RNA from 1 species